AUUGAACGCUGGCGGCAGGCCUAACACAUGCAAGUCGAAUGGUAACAGGAAACAGCUUGCUGUUUCGCUGACGAGUGGCGGACGGGUGAGUAAUGUCUGGGAAACUGCCUGAUGGAGGGGGCUAACUACUGGAAACGGUAGCUAAUACCGCAUAACGUCGCAAGCCCAAAGAGGGGGACCUUCGGGCCUCUUGCCAUCAGAUGUGCCCAGAUGGGAUUAGCUAGUAGGUGGGGUAACGGCUCACCUAGGCGACGAUCCCUAGCUGGUCUGAGAGGAUGACCAGCCACACUGGAACUGAGACACGGUCCAGACUCCUACGGGAGGCAGCAGUGGGGAAUAUUGCACAAUGGGCGCAAGCCUGAUGCAGCCAUGCCGCGUGUAUGAAGAAGGCCUUCGGGUUGUAAAGUACUUUCAGCGGGGAGGAAGGGAGUAAAGUUAAUACCUUUGCUCAUUGACGUUACCCGCAGAAGAAGCACCGGCUAACUCCGUG
rnacentral:rRNA from 1 species